rnacentral:rRNA from 1 species
GGGUUGUGAGGUUAAGCGACUAAGCGUACACGGUGGAUGCCCUGGCAGUCAGAGGCGAUGAAGGACGUGCUAAUCUGCGAUAAGCGCCGGUAAGGUGAUAUGAACCGUUAUAACCGGCGAUUUCCGAAUGGGGAAACCCAGUGUGACUCGUCACACUAUCAUUAACUGAAUCCAUAGGUUAAUGAGGCGAACCGGGGGAACUGAAACAUCUAAGUACCCCGAGGAAAAGAAAUCAACCGAGAUUCCCCCAGUAGCGGCGAGCGAACGGGGAGGAGCCCAGAGCCUGAAUCAGCAUGUGUGUUAGUGGAAGCGUCUGGAAAGGCGCGCGAUACAGGGUGACAGCCCCGUACACAAAAGCGCACAUGCUGUGAGCUCGAUGAGUAGGGCGGGACACGUGGUAUCCUGUCUGAAUAUGGGGGGACCAUCCUCCAAGGCUAAAUACUCCUGACUGACCGAUAGUGAACCAGUACCGUGAGGGAAAGGCGAAAAGAACCCCGGCGAGGGGAGUGAAAAAGAACCUGAAACCGUGUACGUACAAGCAGUGGGAGCACAGGUUUACCUGUGUGACUGCGUACCUUUUGUAUAAUGGGUCAGCGACUUAUAUUCUGUAGCAAGGUUAACCGAAUAGGGGAGCCGGAGGGAAACCGAGUCUUAAU